rnacentral:rRNA from 1 species
UACAGAGGGGGCGAGCGUUGUUCGGAAUUACUGGGCGUAAAGGGCGCGUAGGCGGCCUGCUAAGUCAUACGUGAAAUCCCUCGGCUCAACCGAGGAACUGCGUCUGAUACUGGUUGGCUUGAAUUCGGGAGAGGGAUGCGGAAUUCCAGGUGUAGCGGUGAAAUGCGUAGAUAUUGGGAAGAACACCGGUGGCGAAGGCGGCUAUCUGGACUGUGAUUGACGCUGAGGCGCGAAAGCGUGGGGAGCAAAACAGG